AAUUCCAACCUCUUGGUGGUAAGCUGGCUUGUCCAAUUUCACCCUGAGAUUUAGUUUCUGAGGCUUCCCUGUGGUUAUGACCCAAAUAAGACUCCACAUAUUACAAUUUGAUCAAAAUUUCAAGAACACAUGCAAUUUAUUAAGUAUUCAAUAAGGGGAAACUAUUGAAAAUCAAUAAUAGCAGUGUAAUACAAACUCAUAAGUAAAAAAGUUCUUGUACCACCCAAACAGCCCAACAGAUGCCACGAUGCUGAUAAUACCCAAAAGAUUAAAACUUGCAUCCUUUGAGCAAAUAUUGGCCAAAUACAUCAGGAUUUUUCGUAUUAUCAAAAAUAGAUUUGGGUUUUAUUUCUCCAGUACCGAACUUAUUAAUUAAAACAAUAACAUCGAUACCAUUUUAUUUGAAAUAUACUCAAGUAGAUUGAUAGACAUAGAAAAAUGUGCUGAAAUUCUAUGAACUGUAUGUGUCAUAGUACAAGAUAAUGCUAGAAAACAAUUACCAGAAACUAGCAUAGAAAAAUUCCAAGAAAACCAUUUGAAUUAACACAAUUGGAGCUGUAAAUACUCAAAAGAUUAAAACUUGUACAUCAUAUAAGCAAAUCUUGGGCAAUGAAUAUCAUGCAUCAGAAUUUCAGCCUUUUAAUUUUCCUCCAAUACAAAUUAAUUAUAGCACGAAAUUUGUGUAAAAUGACAACAUCCAAAGCAAAUGGUGAAAAUUAAAUAAUAGCAGAAAGUAGUAUAGAAAAGUUACCAGUGAAGAAAAAGAGUGAAGAAGACGAUGAAAAAAGAAGCUUUCAAGAUCAUCCCUUUUCGGAGUACUAUGAAUUAAGUGCUAAGCAGAUAAAAGUGUUAAAAUUAAAGUGAUUUUUGAGUUAUGGGGGUUUGAAGAUUUAUAUGAUAAAAAUGAAAGAAUUUAAAUAUUAAUUACAUGGGGCCUGAAAAGGAAGUAAGGUGUAAAAGGUGAUGUCUGAAAAAGUAUGAUUGGGAAUUGCUGUUUGUCGGAGGAAGCGGCAAGUGUCAAAGGUGCUGUUGCGCUCUCUCUCUCUCAUGUCUUUUUUCUGUUACGCAUUCAGCACUAAAAGAGGCGCG
rnacentral:lncRNA from 1 species